rnacentral:lncRNA from 1 species
CAGAAGAAAGCACAUAUCAUCAAUCUAAAAUUUUAAAAAAUUUAUGAGAUCAGAUCUCAUUACCUUGGCAUGGGUAGAUAUUCAUUAUUUUUGAUGAUCUCGAAUUCGUAGAAGAUUGAGCCGCACACGCAUCCGACCUCUACAGAUAUGCAUCGGGAUCUAUCUUGAACUUCUUUUUUCUCGUAGAAGAUUCUUCUUCUUAAGAAGAAUUUUGACUUUGAAGACUUUGAUCAACUCCUUUGACCUUAACUGUGAGAUCAACUCCUUGAUUUACAGUCUUCUUCUUCAUCUCCUUGAUCCUUGAUCUCUAAGUCACCAAUACUUCUUUUUGGCAUAUGGAAGAGAGAGCACCCAACUUUUGAGC